rnacentral:rRNA from 1 species
AACGAACGCUGGCGGCAUGCCUAACACAUGCAAGUCGAACGGGAUCCUAGCUUGCUAGGUGAGAGUGGCGGACGGGUGAGUAACACGUGGGAAUCUGCCUUUGGUUCGGGAUAACCGCGGGAAACUGCGGCUAAUACCGAAUGCCCUCGAGAGAGGAAAGAUUUAUCGCCAGAAGAGGAGCCCGCGUCCGAUUAGGUAGUUGGUGGGGUAAAGGCCUACCAAGCCGACGAUCGGUAGCUGGUCUGAGAGGAUGAUCAGCCACACUGGGACUGAGAUACGGCCCAGACUCCUACGGAGGCAGCAGUGGGGAAUAUUGGACAAUAGGGGGCGAACCCUGAUCCAGCAAUGCCGCGUGAGUGAUGAAGGCCUUAGGGUUGUAAAGCUCUUUUGUCCAGGGAAGAUGAUGACUGUACCUGGAGAAUAAGCCCGGCUAACUUCGUGCCAGCAGCCGCGGUAAU